rnacentral:rRNA from 1 species
AGCUCCAAUAGCGUAUAUUAAAGUUGUUGCGGUUAAAAAGCUCGUAGUUGGAUCUCGGGAGAGGGCCGGCGGUCCGCCUCGCGGCGGUCUCACUGCCGAUGCCCGGCUCCCACCUACCCGGCGCCUCCCCGGUGCUCUUCGCUGAGUGUCGAGGCGGUCCGGUGCGUUUACUUUGAAAAAAUUAGAGUGUUCAAGGCAGGCCUCGAGCCUGCAUAUCGUUGCAUGGAAUAAUGGAAUAGGACCUCGGUUCUAUUUUGUUGGUUUUUGGAACGCGAGGUAAUGAUUAAUAGGGACGGACGGGGGCAUUUGUAUUGCGCGGUUAGAGGUGAAAUUCUUGGAUCCGUGCAAGACAGACUGCAGCGAAGGCGUCUGCCAAGCACGUCUUCA